rnacentral:rRNA from 1 species
GAUGAACGCUGGCGGCGUGCCUAAUACAUGCAAGUCGAGCGAACAGACGAGGAGCUUGCUCCUCUGACGUUAGCGGCGGACGGGUGAGUAACACGUGGAUAACCUACCUAUAAGACUGGGAUAACUUCGGGAAACCGGAGCUAAUACCGGAUAAUAUAUUGAACCGCAUGGUUCAAUAGAGAAAGACGGUUUUGCUGUCACUUAUAGAUGGAUCCGCGCCGCAUUAGCUAGUUGGUAAGGUAACGGCUUACCAAGGCAACGAUGCGUAGCCGACCUGAGAGGGUGAUCGGCCACACUGGAACUGAGGCACGGUCCAGACUCCUACGGGAGGCAGCAGUAGGGAAUCUUCCGCAAUGGGCGAAAGCCUGACGGAGCAACGCCGCGUGAGUGAUGAAGGUCUUCGGAUCGUAAAACUCUGUUAUUAGGGAAGAACAAAUGUGUAAGUAACUAUGCACGUCUUGACGGUACCUAAUCAGAAAGCCACGGCUAACUACGUG